UACAGAGGUCUCAAGCGUUGUUCGGAUUCAUUGGGCGUAAAGGGUGCGUAGGUGGCGCCGUAAGUCGGGUGUGAAAUUUCGGAGCUUAACUCCGAAACUGCAUUCGAUACUGCGGUGCUUGAGGACUGGAGAGGAGACUGGAAUUCAUGGUGUAGCAGUGAAAUGCGUAGAUAUGUGGAGGAACACCGAUGGCGAAGGCAGCCCCCCUGGGUCAAGACUGACGCUCAUGCACGAAAGCGUGGGGAGCAAACAGG
rnacentral:rRNA from 1 species